UUUUAUUUUUGUAGGUUAAAGUUAGAUGUGCUAUCCAAUGGAUGCAGAACAGUUCACUGCAUCUCGCUGAUCAUUAUCAUUUAUUCUUCCUUUUUCUAAUUCUAGUAGUUUGUAUCAUUCUGAUUUGGGGGGUGAUGCCAAGGGGAGGGAGGUAGAAACUAAAACACUUGUGUUAAAACUGUUUUAAAUACUCUGCAGCAGAAGCAUAUAGGCUGGAGAGAGAUUCCAAAUACGGCAAUGCCAGCAAAGUUAAAUAGAGAGUGACUAACAGGGCAUUGAUACAAGCAUUGGAAGGGGAUGGUUUAAUUCUGAGGGGAAUGGUAACCACACCAGCUAUGUUGAAAGCAGCCAGAAGAGCAUGUUUGACUAUAUUGUGCACAGGGCUGCCUUUCUUUUGCUAGAAAAACUUUCAAAAACUGAAUAAUCUUUGAAAAGCAGAACAUAGACUUGAGUAGCAGAGGAAAGAGUUUGACAACUUGCAGACUUCUUGCAGUCUCAUAAAAAGCUGAAAAAAAAAAUUCUACAAGAGAACCGUAGAAAUGUAGAUGAGUUCAGCCAUAUGUUGCUAAAAUGAUUAGGGUGAAUAAAUCUAUAGAAACAUGUUCAGAAGGCAUGAUUUAACAGAUAAUAUUUCAGCUGUAAAACCACUUACUGUGAACAGCUUAGAUUCUUGUUGCUAGUUGGUUGAUUUCACAAGCCUUCAGUGUGUUAGCAGUAUUAGUUUUGGAUAGUAAGGGCUUGUCUACAGAGGAAGUGACUGCAAAGUAAGCAUAAAGAUAUGAUACUGUAGUAUGCUGGGCUUUUCUGCAUUAAUUACUUUGUAGGCUAACUAUGGGCAAAAAGCGAAAACUAACCAAUUCCACUUUCAGUAGUUUUUCAGACAGUGUGUUGGGACCUCCAGAGGAUGAAAGACAUUCAGAAACAAAGACAAUCUGAUUCUUCUCCUGGUCUCCAUCCACUCUCUGCAGACCGUCUUCGUCAAGAAGCUGUCCACUUUCAAAGGCAGAACAUUAGGCAAAAUGGGCCAUGCUUCUUCGCUGGAACAGCAGAUCCAGUGCUCACAGUCAAGGCAAUUUACAGCACAGCUGUUUUCUUUUGGUCCUGUGGCAUGUUCCCCAUGUCAUCCUCUGAUAAGGUUUUGUGUUGAAAUCCAGCAGCACAGUUCCACUGGAGUUUGAGCCAAGAUAUUGAACAAGAACCUGUUCUACAGUACUUGUUAAAAGAGAAUCAAAACAAAGCCUGUGGACACCACUAACUUGUGAUUAUCUUCCUUGAAAACAUCCAUAUUGCACUGUAGUUGUAAAAAAGCGUUAUGCAUUCUAUCUGUUAUGAAUGGUCAUAACACUAUUGUUUUAGUUCUGUAAGCUUUAUAUUUAAAACAGUAUUGCCAUCUUGUGGUUCUGACAAGUUUCAUCAAUCUGUUUCUUUCUGCAGCCAUUUUUUUCUUUAUUGUGUUGCCAAGAAUUCCCGAAAUGCCACGGUACAUAAAGUGGAACUGGUAUUGUACUCUUGCAAAAUGUGCAUAGAACAAUAAAAUUAAAGUAAAAUAAAGUAAAAUAGUAAAG
rnacentral:lncRNA from 1 species